rnacentral:rRNA from 1 species
CCUACGGGUGGCAGCAGUGGGGAAUAUUGGACAAUGGGGGGAACCCUGAUCCAGCCAUGCCGCGUGUGUGAAGAAGGCCCUCGGGUUGUAAAGCACUUUCAGUGAGGAAGAACGCCUGGUGGUCACUACCCAUCAGGAAAGACAUCACUCACAGAAGAAGCACCGGCUAACUCCGUGCCAGCAGCCGCGGUAAUACGGAGGGUGCGAGCGUUAAUCGGAAUUACUGGGCGUAAAGCGCGCGUAGGUGGCUUGAUAAGCCGGUUGUGAAAGCCCCGGGCUCAACCUGGGAACGGCAUCCGGAACUGUCAAGCUAGAGUGCAGGAGAGGGAGGUAGAAUUCCCGGUGUAGCGGUGAAAUGCGUAGAGAUCGGGAGGAAUACCAGUGGCGAAGGCGGCCUUCUGGACUGACACUGACACUGAGGUGCGAAAGCGUGGGGAGCAAACAGGAUUAGAUACCCUAGUAGUC